UUAUCCGGAUUUAUUGGGCGUAAAGCGCGCGUAGGCGGCUUGUUAAGCAAGAUCUUAAACCUGGGGGCUCAACCUUCAGUUGGAUUUUGAACUGGCAGGCUCGAGUUUGGUAGAGGAAAGUGGAAUUCCCAGUGUAGCGGUGAAAUGCGCAGAUAUUGGGAAGAACACCGAUGGCGAAGGCAGCUUUCUGGGCCAUAACUGACGCUGAGGUGCGAAAGCUAGGGGAGCAAACAGGAUUAGAUACCCUGGUAGUCCUAGCCGUAAACGAUGGGCACUAGGUGUGGGGAAGCAUCUUCUCCGUGCCGCAGCUAACGCAUUAAGUGCCCCGCCUGGGGAGUACGGCCGCAAGGCUAAAACUCAAAGGAAUUGACGGGGGCCCGCACAAGCAGCGGAGCAUGUGGCUUAAUUC
rnacentral:rRNA from 1 species